CACCUUUUUAGACCAUCCACGGGGAGGGACCAGUUUGAAUGUCCCAGGGCCGCAGUGAAUAAGGGCCCCGAAACAACUUUUAACUGGCUCAGCUAGGGCACCAGCACGGCACCGACCACCUGUUGGAGUGGCGCCGCGUUCACAGCCCCAACAAGAACGAUCGGUCCGCAGCACAGUCCCGGGCGGCAGGUGAAGCGGGAACGCCCAUCCACGCCCAGCGGCGGCCCCGGAGGCGGCCGGUGGCCGCGGGGCGCUCCGUUAUCCUCGCCCUCCCGCACCGCCAGUGCCCUGACUCUAUGUGGGCUAUCCCAAAAUCUAAUGGCAGAUGUCAGGAGACUUUUUCUUAAAGGGGCAAAUAGGACAGAGGUGAGUCAUAUUAUCUCUGUCACGUUUAUUCAACUCUGCCAUUAUAACAUAAAGCAGCCAUUACUAUACAUAAAUGAAUGGUAUAGAUAUGUUUCAAUAAAACUUUAUUUAUAAAAACAUGAUCCUUAGCCUGAGGGGAACUAUAGAAAUCCACAACUGACAUCAUAUUUAAUUGUGGAAACUGGAUGCUUUUUCUCAGGAAACAAGACAAAGGCAAGGUAAGGGUGUCCACUCUAACUACUUGUUUUUAAUAUUAUGCUGGAGGGGGGCGAGGAUUUAGCUCAGUGGUUCCAGCACCUGCCCUGCAAGCACAAGGUCCUGAGUUUGAUCCCUGGUACCAAAAAAAAAAAAAAUUGUACUGGACAUUCCAGUCAGGGCAAUUAGGAAGGAAAUAGAAAUAAAAAAGAAUAUAGAUUGGGAAGGAAGUAAUAAAGCUGUAUCAUCACAAGCAGAUUAUCUUGUGUUUAAAAAAGCCUAAGGGAUAGCUGGGUAUGAUGGUGCACACCUGUAACCCCAGCACUUGGGAGGAUGAGACAGGAGGGUCAUUGUGAGUUCAAGGCCAGCCUGGACUAUAUAGUGAGUUCAAGACCAGGCUAAACUAUAGAGAGAGACCCUGUCUCAAAAAAAAAAAAAAGAUAAAAAAGCCUAAGGGAGCUGGGUGUAGUGGUGCACAUCUGAAAUGCCAGCACUUGGGAGGCUGAGACAGGAGGAUGGUGGGAGUUUGAGGCCAGCCUGGGCUACAUAGUGAAUUCAAGGCCAGCAUGAACCACAUAGUGAGACCCUGUCUCAAAAAAAUAAAUAAAAUAAAUAAGAAAUCUAUGCAGUAUGAGAGAAAAAUAUAAUAAAUGUUUAAAUUUUAAAAAUAUUUUACAAUAAAAGACACUCUGCCAUUAAUCCCUACAAAACAUUACCCCUUGCUUCAAAAACAUUUAUCCUAUUAUUCUUGCCACUUCGGG
rnacentral:lncRNA from 1 species